UCAAGUUUUUGAUCUUAGGUGAUAAACCUUUCCACCACAGACUCCUGUUCACAGCUGACUAAUUUUCUGAAACAGAGGGAGGAAGCUAAACCCACUUCAGUUUCUAUUCCCAGGUCAUAGGGAUCAUGUAAAAACUUGAUGCUGUUUGGGAAGCUCCAUAACGAAUCUCUCCUCCCCUACCCCCAGAGUUUGUCACCGCAUCCAGUCUCUGUUGCCAGAUCGCACGAUGAUUUAUGUUCCCACUGAUGGCUUUCCUCAAACAACCGGGAGAGCAGGUGGCAUAUGCUUCGAGUGACGUGUUCAAUACUACAGAACAGAAAAGCAAGCAAGGCCACUACUGUGCAAAGUACUCUCAAAAUAUUUCAAAACUGUUGAGAAGGAAGGAGUUUGAAGAUUUCCCUCACC